CCACCUGCACCAACCGUGAAAAUGAGAAUUAUGCUCAUGAAAAGUGUGCAAGUGUGUUGAACCACCCAACUGGGAUAUUUGCUGUGUGCCACCGUCAUAUCCCAACUGAUUACUACUACACGGCUUGCAUUCAAAGAAUAUGUAACUCUGGCAGAAGUCGGAG